UACGUAGGGGGCAAGCGUUGUCCGGAAUCAUUGGGCGUAAAGCGCGUGUAGGCGGCUCGGUAAGUCCGCUCUGAAAGUCCAGGGCUCAACCCUGGGAUGCGGGUGGAUACUGCCGGGCUCGAGUCCGGAAGAGGCGAGUGGAAUUCCCGGUGUAGCGGUGAAAUGCGCAGAUAUCGGGAAGGAACACCAAUGGCGAAGGCAGCUCGCUGGGACGUGACUGACGCUGAGACGCGAAA
rnacentral:rRNA from 1 species